rnacentral:rRNA from 1 species
GUAGGUGGCAAGCGUUGUCCGGGAAUUAUUGGGGCGUAAAGCGCGCGCAGGCGGUUCUUUAAGUCUGAUGUGAAAGCCCACGGGCUCAACCGUGGAGGGUCAUUGGAAACUGGAGAACUUGAGUACAGAAGAGGAAAGCGGAAUUCCACGUGUAGCGGUGAAAUGCGUAGAGAUGUGGAGGAACACCAGUGGCGAAGGCGGCUUUCUGGUCUGUAACUGACGCUGAGGCGCGAAAGCGUGGGGAGCAAACAGGAUUAGAUACCCUGGUAGUCCACGCCGUAAACGAUGAGUGCUAAGUGUUAGGGGGUUUCCGCCCCUUAGUGCUGCAGCUAACGCAUUAAGCACUCCGCCUGGAGAGUACGGCCGCAAAGGCUGA